rnacentral:tRNA from 1 species
GCGUAGUGUAGUGGUUAGCACACUCGGCUAACAACCGAAAAGGCCCGGGUUCGAGUCCCGGGAGCGGCG